rnacentral:lncRNA from 1 species
GUUUUUCUAAGGCAUUAAAUAAACCUACUGAUCUUCACAGCACUCUUUGGAACAACGUUAAUGAUUAUUUUAAUCUACAGGAGGAAUACUUACCUGUUUCUAAACUUCCUGCGAUUUUUUUCCUUUUUACAUUCACCCUGGUGGAGCCUGGCAAGAGACUAGGGCAAGAGGUCACUGCUCUAGGCUACAUGAGUUCAAAGCCAGUCUGAACUACCCAGUGAGACCUUAUCUCAAAAAACAGAACAAAGCAAAAUCAUACUGGUUUAAAAUUUACAAACUAGUACACAAGAGAACAUGGGCAUUAGGGCAAGCCCUUUCAACAUCUCCAGCACGUUCCGCCUUUGGGAGCAGCCAGGCAUACAACUACUUCUGGUGACUAUAGAGGGAAAAAGAGAUCACCACAGCCACGGGUGGUGGCUUAACUUCAGUUCCUCCUUGUAGCCAUUUGGGACAGCGUCCUUAUUUGCCAGUUCCCAAGGCCUGCAUCAGAACUCACACUUCAACUACCUGCUUCCUUAUCCUGGCAAACCCCAGAAUUAGAUACUGUAAGGGUAAGUGGAGUAGUCCAAAUGUUAUACCACUGAACUAACUGGUCCUUC